rnacentral:rRNA from 1 species
AUGCUUAUUGAUAUUCCAAUUGAGUCUAUACAGGGUCUGAUUUCCUUUUUCAAGAAGUAUAGAGAAACUGGCUUUUCAAAAGCAUUGGAAGAUGCAAAAGAAAUUGCACUUGAGAUGGAUAUUCAUCCAGAGUUCCGCACCAAGCGGAAAAUCAAAAGAAGAAGACAAUUUGAUGAGGGUGCAGAUGAUGCAUCUAUUGCUUCACAAUCUGCCAAUAUAGAUUUGGUGGAUGAUGCUUGA